rnacentral:hammerhead_ribozyme from 1 species
GUACUGCUGAAGAAUCCCAGGCUAAGGCGAAACAGUUGUCCAGUAC